UACAGAGGUCUCAAGCGUUGUUCGGAUUCAUUGGGCGUAAAGGGUGCGUAGCGGCGCCGUAAGUCAGGUGUGAAAUUUCGGAGCUUAACUCCGAAACUGCAUUUGAUACUGCGGUGCUUGAGGACUGGAGAGGAGACUGGAAUUUACGGUGUAGCAGUGAAAUGCGUAGAGAUCGUAAGGAAGACCAGUGGCGAAGGCGGGUCUCUGGACAGUUCCUGACACUGAGGCACGAAGGCCAGGGGAGCAAACGGG
rnacentral:rRNA from 1 species